UGCAGCGACCCACCCCCAUCUCAUCCGGCGCGCAGGCGGGGCUGGAGGCGGAGAAGCGGAAACCAUGGCAACCAGGUCCUUGACUUCAGUUUUGCAAAAGCCUGGUCGUCAUGGUAACAGGGCUGUCUUGAGAUGGCAUUCCAAGACUCCCAAUCGACUCCUGAAGCCUCUGACUGUGUGAAACGGAAGCUUCCCUAUACGUAUAAUAAAAUUCAAUUUAUAACUUAUGCAGAGAAUGGACCUAAGGAACAAAACCAAGACUAGGAGCUGGAGAGAUGGCUUAGUGACCAGGAGCAGAUGAGGACCCUAGUCCAGUUCCCAGCACCCCCUCCCCUGUCCCCAUGGGUGGCUCACAAGUGCCUGUAAUUCCAGCUCCAGGAAUCCAACCCCUUCUUCUGGCCUCAGGGGCACCUGUACAUCCACUUGCAUGUGCAUACAUACGCACACACAUAAAUAAAA
rnacentral:lncRNA from 1 species